rnacentral:sRNA from 1 species
AUACAGGUGACCGUAUCCUGAGCCCCGGGCAGAGGCAGGACCGAGCCGCAAUCUGAACAGAAAUCCAGGUCCGACUGAAAGCUGGAGCAAGUAUUGGCGAGGUCCAUGACAGACAUGCGGUCGGGUCUGAGGAGGGAGUUGGAAGUUUAUUAACAAAAGAGGAGUUCCUGUCCCAGAGGUCGUAACUAUUCUGUCCUAGGACCUAGGAGUAUAUAACCCGAACCCUCCUGCCACGCACGCCUCCUGCCUCUGCGACCAAGGAGCCGAAACGCCCGGAAUUCCCAGACAGCUUCGGGUACUAAAGGACUUGGAACCCUUUCCAGGGGCCGGUGAGAGGAGUUAACCAACUCCGUGGGCUAGAGCGCCAGCUCUGCGCCCGCGGCGGGGCAGCGAGAUAGAGCCGGCUAGAGCGUCAGGCUUUCGCGCUGACGAUUGGCUGUGACGUCAUAAUUAAUUGCGAACCGUGUCUCGGGAGCGUUAGAGAUGGAGACUAACGUCUUCCAAGGGAGAUUGCGUCUUCACUUUCACCCUGGUACUGAGAGGCACAAAAUUGGUAACCAAUGCUGCGCUUCCAGCAAAUUUUCCCACCAGCACCCAAUCCUGGGAUAUUUAUUCUCUUUGUCUCACAUCCUACAGGAACGCAGUCGCGGGGUAUAUCCCCCUGAAAACCGUACGUUGCCAAAUAAUGAUUUCUUUGGAUUAGAGAACUACAACUCCCCUGGGUCCUGAGCCGGUAUUUCCCUCUUGCGGCUGCACCGUAGUUAAAAACAAAGCUACGUGUUCUGGGACGUAUAGUUCUAGCGUUCCUUGGGUCCCGCUGGCGAGCGUGGGCUUUCUGCAGCUGGCAACCGGCCUCGUGCUUUGCGGACGGUUCACUGCGCUUGGAAAGGGAUUGGCCUGGGGUACAUCAUCUAAAGAUCCUAGGAUUGCUGCAGGUCAGCAGUCUCCACUGGAAAAAAAGAUCUUGCAUGUAUUUCAAGUCCUCUGAUGAAUUAUGUGAUCUACUAGACCCUGAAGAUACAGUGAAGAGCAAAAGAACACGGAUGAAAUGAGAAACAAAAAUGAUGGAGAAAACCAAAAAAGGGGACACAUGGGAUCCAGGCAAUAGGAGAGCCAGCAUAAGAGAGAGGCAGAGGGAUGCCCAGGAUGAGGUGAAGACAAUCUUGGAAAUCAGCCCAGAUGUGCAUGCACCAGUCCACGUGUGGCAGGACCAAGGGAAGUGUCUUCACAAAGAUGAGGCUUUGAUUUGUUGGAGAAACUGUUACCAGAAAAACAGGUCCCGAUCCCGACCCCAAAAGAGUAUUCUUGGAUCUUGCACAGGAAGGAAUUAAAGGUCUAGCUCUGUCUCCUCAGCACAUGUUCUAGGCUCUGACUGCAAGUGCUGACUUGGGCUCCCAGCCCCACACAGACCGUCUGUUCCAUGAAAGGGCCAUCUAUGCAAAGUGCCCCCCAAAUGCCAAAGGAGCCAAUAAACCAAGGAACAAGACA